UAACACGAACCGUGCGAACGUUAUUCGGAAUCACUGGGCUUAAAGGGUACGUAGGCGGUCUUGCAAGUGGGGUGUGAAAUCCCCCGGCUCAACCGGGGAACUGCGCUCCAAACUGCAAGACUUGAGGGAGAUAGAGGUGAGCGGAACUGAUGGUGGAGCGGUGAAAUGCGUUGAGAUCAUCAGGAACACCAGAGGCGAAGGCGGCUCACUGGAUCUCUUCUGACGCUGAGGUACGAAAGCUAGGGUAGCGAACGGGAUUAGAUACCCCGGUAGUCCUAGCUGUAAACGAUGAGCACUGGGUCGAGGAGCCUUCCACAGUUUCUCGGCCGUAGCGAAAGUGUUAAGUGCCCCGCCUGGGGAGUAUGGUCGCAAGGCUG
rnacentral:rRNA from 1 species